GACGAACGCUGGCGGCGUGCUUAACACAUGCAAGUCGAACGGAAAGGCCCUGCUUUUGUGGGGUGCUCGAGUGGCGAACGGGUGAGUAACACGUGAGUAACCUGCCCUGGACUUUGGGAUAACUUCAGGAAACUGGGGCUAAUACCGGAUAGGAGCUCCUGCUGCAUGGUGGGGGUUGGAAAGUUUCGGCGGUUGGGGAUGGACUCGCGGCUUAUCAGCUUGUUGGUGGGGUAGUGGCUUACCAAGGCUUUGACGGGUAGCCGGCCUGAGAGGGUGACCGGCCACAUUGGGACUGAGAUACGGCCCAGACUCCUACGGGAGGCAGCAGUGGGGAUUAUUGCACAAUGGGCGGAAGCCUGAUGCAGCAACGCCGCGUGCGGUAUGACGGCCUUCGUGUUGUAAACCGCUUUCGCCUGUGACGAAGCGUGAGUGACGGUAAUGGGUAAAGAAGCACCGGCUAACUACGUG
rnacentral:rRNA from 1 species